UACAUACGCUGAGAGCCGACGAGGACGAAGGGAUUCCGGUGAGUACUCCGACGUGUGACUGCUACCAAUCUAAGCCUUGAGCAUGUCGGUGGUCGAUUGUCCGACCGUGCAUCGUUAGACGGCGGCGAGCUUAUUGGCCGGAAACGAAGGGAUUCCGGUGAGUACUCCGAUGUGUGACUGCUACCAAUCUAAGCCUUGAGCAUGUCGGUGGUCGAUUGUCCGACCGUGCAUCGAUGAUGGUUCAGUGAAGAAGUUAGACGGCGGCGAGCUUAUUGGCCGGAAACGAGAUCAACGGUGACAUGAAGACGGGUUCCGAUCACAUCAAUCUGAUAAUAAUUCGGGUGUGCGAGGCUCCUCAUCUAUGAUCUUAGAUGCGACUGAAAACGAUGCACCAAUUUGGGUUCGAAAAAAGCACAACUGCAAAGAAACUUAUGAUUAAGCUGGUUAAAUAUAUGUGGAUGUAGGGUUUUGGUUAUAUGGAUUGGAUUAUCAACAAUAAUUU
rnacentral:lncRNA from 1 species